CCUACGGGGUGCAGCAGUGGGGAAUAUUGGACAAUGGGCGAAAGCCUGAUCCAGCCAUGCCGCGUGUAUGAAGAAGGCCUUCGGGUUGUAAAGCACUUUCAGUGGGGAAGAAAGCCUUGGGGCUAAUACCCUCGAGGAAGGACAUCACCCACAGAAGAAGCACCGGCUAACUCCGUGCCAGCAGCCGCGGUAAUACGGAGGGUGCGAGCGUUAAUCGGAAUUACUGGGCGUAAAGCGCGCGUAGGCGGUCUGAUAAGCCGGUUGUGAAAGCCCCGGGCUCAACCUGGGAACGGCAUCCGGAACUGUCAGGCUAGAGUGCAGGAGAGGAAGGUAGAAUUCCCGGUGUAGCGGUGAAAUGCGUAGAGAUCGGGAGGAAUACCAGUGGCGAAGGCGGCCUUCUGGACUGACACUGACGCUGAGGUGCGAAAGCGUGGGUAGCAAACAGGAUUAGAUACCCGAGUAGUC
rnacentral:rRNA from 1 species